UACGUAGGGGGCUAGCGUUGCUCGGAAUUACUGGGCGUAAAGCGCACGUAGGCGGCUUUCUAAGUCGGGGGUGAAAUCCUGGAGCUCAACUCCAGAACUGCCUUCGAUACUGGGAAGCUUGAAUCCGGGAGAGGGAUGUGGAAUUCCAGGUGUAGCGGUGAAAUGCGUAGAUAUCUGGAGGAACACCGGUGGCGAAGGCGGCAUCCUGGACCGGUAUUGACGCUGAGGCGCGAAAGCCAGGGGAGCAAACGGG
rnacentral:rRNA from 1 species